UGUGCAGAAGUUUGUGUUUAUUUUUCUAAAUGUGUCCUGUUGAAUGUAGGUCAGAAUAAAAUAUGUUUGUGAAAAUGAUAAAUAGAAUUUUUUUAGAACUGACCUGCAUUUUCAUAUUACUAGUUGUGCCACAGGUAAAGAAGCUUAGCCAUUAUUGAUCUAUGUAAACAGAAGGUGUAGAGUCUCAACCAACUUGCUGACAUUUUUGUUUAAAAAUGUGUUUUCCAGCUACUGGAAGAAGCAGGCUCCUGAAACUGCAAUUCAGGGAGGUAAUGUGCAGGCAACCUCGACACCCAGUAAGCGAACAGCAGCUAAAAUGUUGCAUCGAUUAUCUCCAAUUGAACCUGUGUCUGAGGGGCUGGGAUCCUAAAGGGAAAUUCCAUCCUACUUGUGUGGCUGAAGGACAUUGUCAACCAAUUUUGGUACAUUUGCCAGAAAGCACAACAUCGUGAUAUGUUUAAUGACAUGUGGGUGGGUGUGCUUCACCAUGUCACAGGGAAGCAUGAAUGGACCAGUGGCAAAUGUGACCAUGGACCACUUGAUGCAACGACCAGUGAUAAAGAGCUCAUGGUACCAUGAUCUCCACCACACGAUGCUCUUCAACGAAUC